UACAGAGGGUGCGAGCGUUAAUCGGAAUUACUGGGCGUAAAGCGCGCGUAGGCGGCUUUGCAAGUCGGGUGUGAAAUCCCCAGGCUUAACCUGGGAACUGCAUUCGAGACUGCAUUGCUAGAGUAUGGGAGAGGGAAGUGGAAUUUCCGGUGUAGCGGUGAAAUACGUAGAUAUCGGAAGGAACAUCAGUGGCGAAAGCGACUUCCUGGACCAAUACUGACGCUCAUGUGCGAAAGCGUGGGGAGCAAACAGG
rnacentral:rRNA from 1 species